rnacentral:rRNA from 1 species
AUAGAGGGUGAAAAUCCCGUGCCUGGGUGGCUGUCCAGUUUCAUGUGAAGUGUCUCCGACGAGUCGAGUUGUUUGGGAAUGCAGCUCAAAAUGGGUGGUAAAUUUCAUCUAAAGCUAAAUAUUGGCGAGAGACCGAUAGCGCACAAGUAGAGUGAUCGAAAGAUGAAAAGCACUUUGAAAAGAGAGUUAAACAGUACGUGAAAUUGUUGAAAGGGAAGCGCUUGAGACUAGAUUCGGCCGGCGGUCAUCAGCUACGUUUCUACGUGGUGCACUUGCCGUCGGUUGAGCCAGCAUCGAUUUUGAUGGCGGGAUAAAGGUUUCAGGAAUGUGGCUCCUCAAUUUCGAGGAGUGUUAUAGCCUGGAGCGCAAUGCCGCCUGUCGGGAUCGAGGACCGCGCUUUUGCUAGGAUGCUGGCUAAAAGGUCUUAAGCGGCCCGUCUUGAAACAC